AGAAGUGUAGCUCAGUUGGAAGAGCAUUUACCAUGCCAGUAAAGGGUCACCGGUUCGAGCCCGGUUGCUUCUACCA
rnacentral:tRNA from 1 species